GCCAUCUCAGUUCGGAUUGCAGGCUGCAACUCGCCUGCAUGAAGCUGGAAUUGCUAGUAAUCGCGGAUCAGCAUGCCGCGGUGAAUACGUUCCCGGGCCUUGUACACACCGCCCGUCACACCAUGAGAGUCGGGAACACCCGAAGUCCGUAGUCUAACCGCAAGGAGGGCGCGGCCGAAGGUGGGUCCGGUAAUUGGGGUGAAGUCGUAACAAGGUACC
rnacentral:rRNA from 1 species